rnacentral:rRNA from 1 species
CAUGUCCUUUUGAUUAUAAUUUAAGGUCUAAUCUGCCCACUGAUUUUUAAAUGGCCGCAGUAAUUUGACUGUGCUAAGGUAGCAUAAUCAUUAGUUUUUUAAUUGAAAGCUGGAAUGAAUGAUUGGAUGAAAUAAAAGCUGUCUUAAUUUUAAUAAGUUAGAAUUUUAUUUUUAAGUUAAAAAGCUUAAAUAUUUUUAAAAGACGAGAAGACCCUAUAGAGUUUUAUAUAAUUAAAUUAAUUUAAAUUAUAAAUAAUAAAAUUUUAUUAGUUUUAUUAUAUUUUAUUGGGGUGAUAGAAAAAUUUAAUAAACUUUUUUUUUAUUUAAACAUUUAUAAAUGAUUAAAUGAUCCAUUAUUAAUGAUUAUAAGAUUAAAUUACCUUAGGGAUAACAGCGUAAUUUUUUUUAAGAGUUCAAAUCGAAAAAAGAGAUUGCGACCUCGAUGUUGGAUUAAAGUUUAAUUUUGGUGUAGCAGCUAAAAAUUUAAGUCUGUUCGACUUUUAAAACUUUACAUGAUCUGAGU